rnacentral:lncRNA from 1 species
GCCCUUGUCUUGAGGGAUGAGUCACUGGAGAGGAGCUGUGAAUUUAUUCAUCAAAGCCAAGUGUCCUGAAGCAGUUUACCAAGUGAAGCUGCUCAACCAGCCCUAACGAAGCAAUUCCAGGACAGUCUCAACAAAACCAACCUCUACCGUGUGUCAUUACUUGAACUUGACGCUCUUCCCUCUGCUGCCAGGCAUUCAAUUUCCCCGCAGAUUUUGUCCCCUCGUUAAGGUUUGGGAACAGUUUGUAGAUUUGCCACUAGCCCCAGGAGGCAGUACACUGGUCCUGAGGAUACAUGGUGGUGCAGGAAAUCAGUUCACGAUGCUCAGU